rnacentral:rRNA from 1 species
GACGAACGCUGGCGGCGUGCCUAACACAUGCAAGUCGAGCGAGUGAAUCUCCUUCGGGAGUGAAGCUAGCGGCGGACGGGUGAGUAACACGUGGGCAACCUGCCUCAUAGAGGGGAAUAGCCUUCCGAAAGGGAGAUUAAUACCGCAUAAGAUUGUAGCUUCGCAUGAAGUAGCAAUUAAAGGAGCAAUCCGCUAUGAGAUGGGCCCGCGGCGCAUUAGCUAGUUGGUGAGGUAAUGGCUCACCAAGGCGACGAUGCGUAGCCGACCUGAGAGGGUGAUCGGCCACAUUGGGACUGAGACACGGCCCAGACUCCUACGGGAGGCAGCAGUGGGGAAUAUUGCACAAUGGGGGAAACCCUGAUGCAGCAACGCCGCGUGAGUGAUGACGGCCUUCGGGUUGUAAAGCUCUGUCUUCAGGGACGAUAAUGACGGUACCUGAGGAGGAAGCCACGGCUAACUACGUGCCAGCAGCCGCAGUAAAAC